GACGAACGUUGGCGGCGUGCUUAAUACAUGCAAGUCCACUGAAGCAGUGGUAGCAAUAUCGCUGUGGAGGUGGCGCACGGGUGAGUAACACGUAGGUAAUCUGCCUUCAGGUCUGGCAUAACUCCGGGAAACCGGGGCUAAUAGCAGAUGAUGCAGCGGCUCGACAUCGAGACAGUUGUUAAAGCUAUGGCGCCUGAAGAUGAGCCUGCGUCUGAUUAGCUAGUUGGCGGGGUAACGGCCCACCAAGGCAACGAUCAGUAGCUGGUCUGAGAGGAUGAUCAGCCACACUGGAACUGAGACACGGUCCAGACUCCUACGGGAGGCAGCAGUAAGGAAUAUUGCUCAAUGGGAGAAAUCCUGAAGCAGCAACGCCGCGUGAGGGACGAAGGGCUUUUGCUUGUAAACCUCUGUAGUGAGAGAAAAAAAUCCCAAUCUUUGGGACAUGAUGGUAUCUCAAAAGUAAGCCCCGGCUAACUACGU
rnacentral:rRNA from 1 species